CCUACGGGAGGCAGCAGUGGGGAAUAUUGGACAAUGGGCGCAAGCCUGAUCCAGCCAUGCCGCGUGUGUGAAGAAGGCCUUCGGGUUGUAAAGCACUUUUAUCCGGAAAGAAAAGCUUUGGGUUAAUACCCUGAAGUCAUGACGGUACCGGAAGAAUAAGCACCGGCUAACUUCGUGCCAGCAGCCGCGGUAAUACGAAGGGUGCAAGCGUUACUCGGAAUUACUGGGCGUAAAGCGUGCGUAGGUGGUUUGUUAAGUCUGAUGUGAAAGCCCUAGGCUCAACCUGGGAAUUGCAUUGGAUACCUGGCAGGCUAGAGUGCGGUAGAGGGAUAGUGGAAAUUCCCCGGUGUAGCAGUGAAAUGCGUAGAGAUCGGGAGGAACAUCUGUGGCGAAGGCGACUAUCUGGGCCAGCACUGACACUGAGGCACGAAAGCGUGGGGAGCAAACAGGAUUAGAUACCCCUGGUAGUCCACGCCCUAAACGAUGCGAACUGGANUUGGGUGCAACUAGGCAUCAGUAUCGAAGCUAACGCGUUAAAGUUCGCCGCCUGGGGAGUUACGGUUCGCAAAGCGNGACGACGAGAAGUUAGAGGCGNGAGAGNGCGAGCGACGACGAGGAGGAGG
rnacentral:rRNA from 1 species